rnacentral:lncRNA from 1 species
UUUCUGCUGCCCUUGUUGAUCAUGGGAGCUGCAUUUGCUCUGCAAUACUACAAUAAAAAGUAGUCUAAUUAUCCUCCAUGCGUAUGAACUUUCUUCAGACCGAUAGUCUAUCACUCAAGUCAGAAUAACGUAAUAACAGAAUUUCAGUUACUACUUUGCAUUUUUGAAAAUGAUGUACUACCUUUUUACAUAUCGUAUUUGUAUGCGCUUGGAAUUUAUUGAGUUGGCGAAGCAUUGUUUCAUCCCAUUGCAAUGAUUUCUUUCAAGAUAUUUGCUUCUUCACCUGCAAUUUAGCUGGUUCAGUGAGUUCGAUUGAUGGGAUAAUAUUCACCAUUACUGCUUUUGUGUUCAUAGAGGUCGCACUUGGUGCGAUGGCAAGUGCCUUCGUCCAUGAGCGGUAGGUCUCGGGUUCGAGACUUGGGAGCAGCCUCUCCAUAAAUGGGGGUAAGGCUAGCCGACAUUCACCUCUUUCAGACCUUGCGUAAAGCGGGAGCCUUGUGCACUGGGUACGACCUUUUUUACUGCUUUUGUGUUCAUGAUUUAGUCUUUGAAUAGCAGAAAAUUUAAGACUUGGCAAAAUAUCUUUUCCCCAUUUGUAACCCAUAAGA